CUGGGGAAGGAUCUCUUUUGGAGAUCGCUCUUGUUGGAGUCUUCUCAGUAAGCCUAGGACAGGGGGCACUGUUUCUCAGGAACCUGAAGCACGUUUGCUGAUCUGUGGGCAUUGACAACAGCCAAGAUAACACCAGUAACGUAUCUUGCAUGCUGGGGAGUUGAUCUCAUUCAGUUAUUUUACUCUCUUAUUCUCUCUCUGGUAAUUCCAAGAACUUCCUGAGCUUGUGCCCAGAUGCUGAUACCCAAGUGAAAGGAGAGCUCUGUUCCACACUGACAAGCAGAUGUUCUGAACUCUCUGCAAGGAGCUCUGAGCAUUCUGGCCAGCCCUGUACUGGAAACAUGAGACAUCCUAAUUCUUCUAUUCAAGCAAAAGCAGCACCUCAGGGGUGAGAGCUGGCUGCUGUAACUCCUCUUUUAGGCACUAUUUCUCUCCUUGAUUUUCACUGCAUGACACUGCUCACAAUUCAUCAUUAUUUACCAAGAUUGGAGCCUCUGGUGAUGACACCAAUGGGAUUUUUUCACCAACUUCCCAGGGCAGCCACAACUGGUUGGCCAUUAAAGGAUCUAUGUGCAAGUCAGCCCUGGAGCCAGGCCAACUUUCUCUUUCAAUUUCCCCUCCUUUUCUUCACCCUCACUGCCUGUUUUCCCUUUGGGAGACCUGUUGUAGUUUAGUGUUUCUUUUUCUUUUUUUUUUUUACUUUUUUCCCCUUUGUUUUUUUUUUUUGUUACUGUAUAUAGUGGAGUUUGAUCUGGCAACCAGCCAGGGGACCUGCAAUUGCUUUGUCCUUUGGUGUGCUGGGUUAAUUCGACUUCAAGUUUUUCUAUUGAGAAGCUGAUUAAGACCAAAGCAAAAAAAAAAAAAAAAAAAAGCCACAUCUGUAAGUGGAAGUAAACCUUUAGGUUAUCUCAGAGGCAAUCUCCUUAGUUCUUUUCUUUCUAGCUCUUCACCUUGACUUUUCUUUAGUUGUUAGCUCUUUCAUUUCCUUCACAGGUGCUUGAGGCACUUAAAGGAUGCUUCUCCCUUUCCCAGGCAGAUGCCACUUUCAACUCACCAAAUUGUACCCCUUAAAAGCAGAAGCACAACUACAAAGGUUAUAGCAUUGUAGUCAUGCUGGCUUGCUGAUAAAGGGAGGAGGCACUGCCUAGAAAAUACCAGCAAAUGGCAAGAAAGAAUGGGACUUUCUUCUAAAGUUUAGUAAGGAAUUGGGAACGGAUGACUUGGAUGCGUACCAGCCCUCAAGAGAGUCAGCAUGGGGAGGUAGGUGGGUAAAGGGGACUUUUCAAACCCCGGGUCUAUCAUUACCUGUUGGUAAUGGAACCUUCAAAUCCACCAACACCUCAUGGGAAAGUGAUACAGCAGCAUGGAGUUGUUCCAUUCUUGGGGUGUAUGAGGAUAACAUCUCAUUUCCAAUGAUUUGGGAAGAGCUACUGGAGAAGCUGCUACUCUGGCUUUGAUUUGGGCUAAUAAACAAGAACUGCUUGGGGGGGGGGAAAAAAAAAAAGUAGGAUGUAAUUUCAGGAAAUAAAUCACAAAAUAAUGGAGUGCACAGUGCCAAGAGAAGGGGAGUGAGAACAGCAGAAUGAGGAUAAUGGUCUGCAAAAAAUCUCUGGGAACUGGUAGGUGACAUCUCUAGGGAAGAUAAUCUGAGGGAUGAAGAGAGCAGGGAAGCUGGCAAUUACCUAAAACGACUGCAUUAGAAGCACCUAAACAAGCCAUCUCGAUGCAGAGGGACAAGAGGAAGGUGGCUAAGAGACCUGGUGGAUAUGAGGCCCUAAAGGAGUUGCAGAGAAAGGGAAAUGAAAACAGGGACCCAGCAAUGAGGAGAGCAGAUGCACAGACACAAGCAGAACACACUCCAAUACGCCAUCAGUUUAAUGGCUGUGGAAAACUACUUUCUAAGUGCAUGGGAAGGAGAACGAGAGCUAAGGAGAGCCCAAGCUCUUUGCUUCUUGAAUGGAGGAGAGCCAAGAGUCGCAGUGCAGGAACCCUGUGUGGGCUGAGCUUCAGCCCUCCCUCCCAUCCAGCUCAUUAGGACAGGCUUCAAACCAGCCUGGAGGAGAACAUCCUCCAGGGCAUUUAGAGUCAAGUGUGCUCAUGGCAGCAGGGCAUGCCCCGAGCUGCCUUCACAGAGCUAAUCCAACCUCUGGGGCGUGCAGGGUUUCUCCAAGUCCUGCAGGAGUGGUCUGGGAGCGUCGUGGUGGGGCUGCACAAGAAAUCACCUGCAGGAACUCAAAAAUGGCCAUUAAUGUGACUGACGGAAGGGCUGGGGACCUUGUGCUGAGCUUCAGAAGGAGGUGGGUGAAUCAGAUGCUCUGCCUCAUUCCCUGCAGUUGUGCCAGCAUCGCUGCAAGCCGAUGAGCUCACUCAUGUGUCUGUCCCAGCCAGUCACUGCCACACAGUGCAGCCCAAAGGGCCCAUCCCUGCCCAGCAGCCACUGGCUCGUCCCAGUCACUGUCAUCUCCGCUGCAGGCGCUCCUCAUCUUCAUCCCUGCCAUGGGCUGCCCUCCAUCCCCGUCUCUUGGGUUCAGAAACCUGAAGAAAACCUCAGGGUUUGCUCAGGGCUUGUUUUCCAUCUCUUCUGCCCUUUUC